CCGAAGUUAUAACAUCAAUGUUAUGAAACUGGCCAAUCAUAGUUAUUCUUCUGAAGACUGGAAUGCCUGUGAUUUACCAGUUUCUUAAUA